GUCCAAACCAAAAAACAAACCUAACGCCCACAGAGCCACAGAACUACGGCUGGUUCUAAUAAGUUUAGAAACACGCGGGGCUUCCUGCAGGGUGCGGCUGAACCUGGAGACCGGAUCUCAGACUGAUUCCUGCCCCUCCUUGUCCUGCCGCUCAUCAGCGGGGUCCGGGUGGUAUCAGCUCCGAUGUAAGUCUUUGCUCCAUGGGAGCUGUGAAAUCCACUCCAGGUUUUCACUUCUGCUGUUUUGUGUGCCUUCACAGCCCCUAGCCAGGCUAGCUCUGCCUGGCCCUUUAAUUCUGUGGGUCCCUGAGCUUUAAUAAAAUACAUGCAUAUGUGCAGAGGUUUUCUCUGGGCUACUUUUUCCCAUGGCAUUCAGUGGUCUCAUUACCCAGGAUUUUUAUUUUGUAGGAAAUCCACGGAUUGUUCAAAUGAUUUGCAUAGUUGAGAAUUUUAGUGCCUUUCUGCCCCCUCUACCCCUUGGGGGCCUUAUUGGUCUUUCUCUUUCUAAGCCCCUGGCCAUUCACCUGUCCCCAAGGCUGUAUAUUUUCUCAUUGGAGCACUUCCACCAAAGUAGAUGAUCAGAUGCCUUGCACAGGGCUUUGGCCAUGGGCAUUUCUCCUCCGAUUCCCCCUCACUCCUCUCUUCCAAAGCCACCACCGAGUACAGCUGUUCCUGCAGCCGCCACAUGUUUCCUGUCUGGGUCCACAGAGCCGUCUGAACCAUCUGGACCAGGAGUGAAGCUGAGAAGGAGACAGCCUAUAUGAGGAUGUGUUACUGAGUUGGCCACCACUGUGUGACUGGUGGUGACCUGGUCCCAAGGAACUGUCCUUGGAUAAGUGGGACAGUUUGUCCCAGGACAGGACAGAUGUAUCCAUUGACUCCUGUGUCCCAUUGGCCAGUAUUACCCCCCAGGGCAGGCUCCCCUGCCCUCGCAGGUGGCACAUGUGUGGGUGCGGGUGGUCCCCGGCAGUAUCCACAGGAAAGCUCCCGCAGGAGUCAAGAGGCGCCCAUGGAGGCCUGGAGCGCAGCUGUGUGGUCACCGCGGCAUGGAGUUGGUCAGGCCCUCGCAGGACCGGCACCGCGUGGUGGCUGGAGGAAGAGAUACCUGAGGCCAAGAGGAUGUACCGCCUGCAUACAGGGGGGCGGGUGUCUGUUACAGCAAUAUAACGUCACUCCCCGGUGGUCUCCAUGAGGAAGCCACUCAGUGUCCUGCCGCAUCCACCCCGGUCGCCUUGCUCUGUCCAGGCCCCCGGGGUACCUGGUCCAGCAGCUCCCUUCCUCCCAGGGGCUUCUGAACGUGUUUUUAUUUUUAAGCAGAGAAAUCCCCUUUUUUCAAUCUAGAUCAUAUGAUAUGAAACGCCAUUAUAUAAAACAGGAAGUAUGAUGUUAACAUAAACGAUCAAUUUACAUUU